CCUCAACCCUUUCCUUUUGCAUUUCGCGGAAGUUACAGCAGAGCUACAGCGCUGCUCAGCUCCUCGGGGCUCGGGGACACCACAGGCUCUGCGAGUUGCAGGAGAAAACAGCGGGAGAAAAGUCCGGGGGGUGAGCGGCCGGGGGGGCGUGUGUGGGUGUAGCUUGGCAUCUCCCAAAGCCCCCCCCCCCCCCCCCCCAGUGCGUGCAGUCCGACAGCUACCGAGGAAAAACAGCGAACGGACACGGAGACGUCACCAACCACGCAACUGGCCUAUUCUGUCAUGGUUGACUGCAGCAGUAAUGGAAGAAAGAGAGAGGAGGAGGAGGAGGAAGAGGAGGAGAAAUAGGGAGAGGGAGAAAAAGAAGGAGCAUCACUUAAAGAAGAGCGAGAAGUUGCUGCAGGACUGGGGUGUCAGUCAGGACUUUAUCUCGGGCCGAAGGAGAAAAUAAAAGAAGAUAAGGCCUCGCUCUCACCCUGGGAAGAAAGCUAAUGGGGCAAGAGGGGGAAAGUCUUCAGCGCCCCGUGCCUCUCCCGGAUAGUGUUCUUGUAGUGACCUUGAGCUGCUGCCGGGGUGGGCAGAAGGGCCUGAGCCGAGCGGCUGCUCCCAUCCUCUGCCCGAGGGACACCUGCGAUUUUCAGUUGUCCCCUCCUUUGCCCCAAGGCGGCCCCACCGCCGCCCGUGGAAGCCGACCCCCGGCGUCGCGCAGCCCCCGGGCCCGCUUCCUCCCUCCCUGACAUCCUUCCUAUUUUUUUUCUUUCUCAUCUUCCUCCUUGCCAAUCCCUCUCUCCUUCUUCCUUCCUUUUCUCGUUUUUCCUUUUUUUUUCCCCUCUCCCCACGUCCUCCAUCUUCCCCCCUUCUCCCGCCCCCGCCCCGCACAGCGAAAACUCAGACAAGGCUGGCAGAGCCGUCGUGAGCACAUCCUUCACCUUAACCGAACCUCACAAAUUUCGGGACCCUUUCCUAGCCCCAUUACCAACCCCACUCCCAGACUCAAUUCCCAGCCCCGUUCUCAUCCCCAUUCACAGCCCCGCGUCUCGUACUACGGCCGUAACCCGGCUCCGUGUGGCUGCCCCGGGCAUCCCAGAAAUACUCGCUGUGCUCAAGGUGAAAACACAGAUUAUACAUAUCACCUAAGCGGCUCCUGAAAAGUUUGGUUUGUUUUCUUCAGCUCACGUUAAGCGCAAAAAAAAUAGAAUGGGUGAAAGGGGGCAUUCGCUUUCACCAAAAAAGAGCAUUUCCCCCCGGUCCAUGCCCUCGUCCUUUGUGCAAAGGUUGGAUGAGGCCAACGUGGUAAACGCGUAAAUCUGUAGAUCUGUGAGCGCAGAGAGGAGCUGGGAUUGGGACGGGCAGAACCAGCGGCUGCAGGCGGUGAGGCCGGGCCGUACUCUUACUGCCGGGACUGGGAGAUAUCCCGAGAGCUUUUAUCCUCACAGAGGUGAGGAUCCGGGUGCGAAGAGCCGCUCUGGUUGGCACAGGGUUUGGUGAAGCCAAUGUCUCGCAAGGACACGUGCACGCGCACCUCUACAUCGCAGUAAAAAUUAGACCUUUUCCACGUGCACCGAAACGGAUAUGUGCUUGUCUCGUUUGGUCCGGACGGAGCAGUGGCUGUGUGCACAGAAAAACGUGCUUCGAGAGAACACUCGGAGCUCAUUCCGUGCCCGUCUGCUCUGGGAGGCGGACGUGCACGUUUACCUGCUCGGCUGCGCUGUCGCGGGCUGCGGGAGCGGAUCUCCUGCCUUCGGGAGCACACUUUAGGCAUCACGCGAUUGGAAACCAUUCGUUUCCGACGAAUAUUUUCUUUUAUUCGGGGAAAAAUAAUCUGCUCCGACCUCAGUGCCAACGACUCCGAGCAGAGAGCCGGGCGUUACCUGCGGGUCCGGACUCCGAACCCCCCCACCCGCACCCGUGGCCGCAGCAGCGUCGCUCGAGACAAUGCCUAUUUUCUGUCAUUAAUAACUCGUUUCUUUAAGGGAAAAAAAAAAAAUCUCGUUUGGAUUCAAGAUUGUUUUUUAUGAUUCAGUUGGACAAGACGGAACACAUGUUAGUUUAAGCAGGUUCAUGAAAUAGCUGUAAAUCAAAUAAAGUUUACGAGUUUAGCAGGAAAUACUGAAUAGAUGAAAAAAAAAAAAAAAAAACCCUCAGCCGAGGCAGAGAACAGCGGGCUGAAAGAGCCGGUGGAGUUUGUCCUGCUCUGUGUUUCUCUCUGUUCUCUCGUGCAUCUUGCCGAUUAAAGGCCUCGAGACCCCGUGUUGGCGCCAAGUGGCAUGUUAUUAAUCAG
ensembl:lncRNA